UUAAGUUCAGCGGGUAUCCCUACCUGAUCCGAGGUCAAGCGCGAAAAUAUAGGCUUCAUGGACGCCCGCAAUCCACAGCGAAGAGCGCAAAAUGUGCUGCGCUCCAACACCAGAUUGCCGGCUGCCAAUUGAUUUGAGGCGAGUUCACGCGUUGCAGCGGAACAAACACCCAUCACAAGCAAAGCUUGAGGGUACAAAUG
rnacentral:misc_RNA from 1 species